GGGAGAUGAUGUGAUUAUAUUUUAAUCUCAAAAUUUAAAAAAAAAAUUUAAUUUUUUAAAAAGAAAGACACUACCAUAUCUCUCUUCUGUCAGAUUAGUGAGACAGUGGUCCCCCAAGCCACUGGAACUGAGACAGUGUUGAGUUUGGGUGGAUGGACUGCUUAGUUACACAUACCUAUUGUUCUCUGUUUAAACCUAAAACUUAUGUUAUGUCAGUACCCCAAAGACUGGACUUGGGGAACACAGGACCCCUUUUAUAAACUUUGUUUCUCAGAUUUUUCCCUCCUGGGAACCACAGAGCUGGGGCAGGAUGAGGCCCAGGCUCCAGAGGAUUUUUGCAGCCUCCUCUCCCUGCUUCAGAUUCUUGCAGUCUGGCCUGGCAUGCCUCCUAGCUGGGAGUAUGGCUAAGGGAGGCUGAGCACAGCCACGGGAGUUAGCAUCAGUGUUUCUUUUUAAAUUUGACCUCAACCAUGUUUGUAUGAAAACCAUGAUUUCCGGCAUCAUUUGAAAAACUGAAAGAUGGAACCAUUCCCACUGUUCCACAAAGCCAUGACCAUCCAAGCCGGGUGACAGCUGUCCUAUGAAGAAACCUGGCACCUGCUGUCCUUACCCAGCAAGUUCCCCUCUAUAGGUUACUCAUCUCGCCCUUGAAUUUGAGACUCUGAUCUAGUGCACUAGACCAGAUAGGAAAUGCCUUUGGGGAGCAUGUCCAGGGACAGGCCUUGUCAUUUUUGAUGGCCCUUCUAGGUUUCACGUGUCUUCUGGACAAGUCUAGGAGCUCCUGGGCCCUUGGUUUCCUCCCAUCUGUGGAAUGAGGGCAAGUCCUGGCAUUCUCUAAGGGCAUGUGCAGCUGACUUUGUGAGCUCCCAGACCUGUCCUGUGACCUUGGCUCUGCAGGAGUCUGGACAGCUCAGCCUCUGCCUGCAGUGUCUGCAGAGAAAGGAAGCAAGCAGAGGGAAGGCCCAGGGAUCCUUUAUGUGGAAGCUUCCAAAGAUGCUUCCUCUCUUCACUGACCUGCCCCCUCUCCUCAGACUGAGGAAGGCGUGAGACUGGAGCCUGGCCAGCCGAGACCAGGAGCCCAUGUUGGUCUGAUGCUAAAUCAAAGCCUUAACAGACAGCCUACUGAUGCACUGUCUUGAGAAUGCUGUUUCCUUGAGGACCAGUCAGUGCUGGAGGUGGGGACGCUCAUUCUUUCCAUUCUGUUCUCGCUCCCAUAACUUCCACGUCAGCCCUCACUGCAGCCCCGGGUCCCAGUCCAGACUUGGACUUCAGUUCUCUGUGGUAGCAUUGCUGGACUUGACGUUCCGUGUCUGUGUGAGUCUCCUAACUCAGUCGCCUCUCUCGACUCCACCCGCCCUCAGUUCUGCUCAUGUCAUUAGAGGUUCCUGGCCCAUAAAGAGUCCAAGAACUUCUCCUUGGAUGAAUGAAUGAACCUGGGACGGUCUGACUGUUCCCUCCCAAACGCACAUGGAGACUGACCUGCCUCUGUAAUAGCUUUAGCAGGCCAGGCAUUUGAGAGGUGGUUAGGUCCAAGAGCUCUGUUCUCAAGAGCAGUCAGUGCUGUCACUGGGUCACUGGGUCACUGGGUCACUGGGUCAGGUGUCAUGAGUGGGUCUGUUAUACAUUCAGCCACCACUUGCCUCUCUCUGAUUCACACCCACGUACCUUUCUGCCACAAUGCUGUGCAGCAUGAGGGCCAUACCUGGUGCUGCUCCUCCAUCUUACACUUCCCAGACCAUAAAGCUAAAUGAACUCCUAAGGCUCAUCAUUUUGCUGGCUUGGGGUAUUCAGUUAUAACCAUAGCAAACAGACCAAGACAGCUUUCCAAAGCAGCCAGGCAUUCACACACCUUCAGCCUCUGGAUCCCACUCGGGUCACUUUCUGUCCCAGGGGCCCCCCGCCUUGAGUGCCAGAAUGUUUGCUCCAUACUGCCACCUUCAGGCACUGGCAGUCCUUCCUGUCGUGAGGUCAGCAUUCCUCACGAUCUAGUUCAUGGGGUCUUCUCUGAUGCGGACUUCCCGUAGUAUGCUUUGCAUGUUGUCACACUUUCUGUUGCUACACACUUUCUAAGCUAUAUGUGGUUGUUAUGGCCACCCCAUCUGUGUUUGCCCUAACCACCUCCAUUGCUGCAGUGACACACCCCUCCUCAACCUGUGGUUAUGAUGACCAUUCCACCUACUAUUGCCAUGACCACCCUCCCUGUGGUUGCCAUGACCACACCCCAGUGACUACAGUGACCAUCCACUCUGUAUUUUUGAUGACCCCCUCACUUUGGUUGCCAUUGCCACCCUCCCUGUGGUUGGAAUGACCAUUCCUCCAUGACUGGGAUGCCCACACCCCCUGUGAUUGCCAUGACCACUCCUCCAUGACUGGGAUGCCCACCCCCACCCCACCCUCAUGGCUUCCAUGACCAUCCCACCUGUAGUUGCAAUGUUCACUCCAUUUGUGGUUGCAAUGACCACACCCCUGUGAUUGUGAUGCCCACCCCACUUGUGGUUACACAACCACAACCCCUGUGGUUGCCAUGACCACCCAAACUGUAGUUGCAAUGAUCACCCCACAGUGGUUGCUUUCUGCAUCACACAGAAGUCUUCAAUUGCAAGUAGAACACCCAAUUCCAGUUGUCACAAAGCACCAACUCUGCCACCAGCUUCUCUGUCAGCAAGACAUUGGCUCUCCCUCCAAACUGAAUGGGGGUUCAUCCUCAGGGAAAUUUUACUCCUUCAUGAAGGUAGAUGACUGCCAGCUUCACAUUCAUAAGCCCACCUGAACAAAGAAGAGCCCUUCCCAACCCCAAGUGAAAGUUCUCAAUUCAUACCUACUGGCCUUCUGUCCCAAGCACUUGAGCUAUGGUUUAGAGCAAUUCUUACUUGGCUUAGAGAAAUCUGGCCUCAGUGAGAGCCAAAUCUCCCCCCAGAUGAGAACAGUGUUUAAACCAACUCAGAAUACAACCAGAGUGCCGUAGAGGCCUUGGAAAGAGACCACAAGAUCCCUAGGCUUUGUGUUUUCCCCCAAAGGAACCCAGAGCUCACUGAGGGCAGGGCUGGCUCCACUUGCUCUCUGGUCCCCUUCCUUUCCUGUGCCAGGCACGCAGCUCACUCCCAGGAACUUUCCUCUAUUUGAAUUCCUCUCUUCUUUCCCAUCCAGAUGACACCUGUCACCCACUGUUUAUAAGAACAUCUCUGGUACCCCCAGCUUCCACCCAUCCUGAGACAGCCUCCAGGUGCUACCUGGGUGUGGGCAGACCUCCAGGAAGAGGGCACGGCUAGCCUCUCCUGACACAGGUUUGGUAAAGAGUUAUCUUGGGGGAAGAUGCCUGAGAUUGGCCUGGGGCAUCCACACUCACUUCUUGGCCUUUGGACCCCUUCAUCACAGCCUCCCAUGGGGCUCUGGCAGCAUGGGAGCAGGCUAUGUGCCUGCCUACCCCUGCCCACUCCAUCACAAUGACAUUGGAGUGACAGCUGCCCCAAGGAAAACCAGACUUCACCCAGUGGGAGUGGAAUAGGAGUCUGAUUCUGCUUCACUGUUACUGUUUGGUUGGUUGGUUUUGGGUUUUUUGUUGUAAAUUUUAACAGGAAAAAUGUAAGUCUUGGAGACUGUCCUAUGAGGAAGGUGUGCAGGAAGAGGACAGUGAGAAGCAGACAGCCAGAAUCAAAGGACAGAAGGCAGGCAAGGGACAGACUGAGAGGGUCACAGGGCCCCCUCCUUGGCCCUGUUGAUUUCUGGCUGCAACCCAGAGACUCAGUCCUGAGGCAUCCUCAGGACCUGUCUAGUGCUGGUUCUUGGCAUGGCUUCCCGGCCCAAUCCACUUAGCAUCAUUAUUUGCGGUUGGAGAAGUUCCUCUUCCUAACCCACCAGGAGCAGCCAGCCUUCCCAUGCAGUCUCACUUAAACCAGUGAGAGUCAGCCUCUGAGCUGGAUGCUCAGGAUGCUUUGAUCGGCACAUGUCUUGAAACAGUGACCCAGCCCAGCCCGCUCACGGACUCUCCUAACUUGCUCCUUGUCUCACUUGGAUAAUCCAGUCACUCAUUUCUUCCUAGAUGUCUUACUAACUUACUGUUAUUUCAAAUUAUGAUUGUCAGGCAUUAGCUAUGGUCCAGACAGGCCCAAUGCUUGACAUGGUAAAGAUGUGAAGAGGAACCAGGUGGAGUUUGCAUUUCGAAAAUGGGAAAUAAUAAAUAUUAAGCAAAGGCUGGACGGUGUUGCAAAUCUUGGGGAAGAGCGUGUGUGGGAUGGAGAGCACGUUGGCUAAAAGGCUGUCAUCAGAGGGACGUCUCAGCCUUUGGAGAAGCAGCUGCCUGUGGAUUAACUUUAAGCAUUUGAAGCACACCCUCAGCCCAGGAAUGCUCCCCCAGCCACAUUCCCAGCCCUGAUCCAGGUCCCUAGACACCCCCACCUCUCUUCCCUCUGGGCUAUCCAACUGGAUUUCAGUGCUGCUCCUGACAGGCAUCCCCUGUCUGUUCUGCUUCGCCUCCGGGGUAAUGUCCUUGGAGGAAGCAAGCAUACUUCUGCUUCUAAGGUGAUCUGCUUGCACAAAUAUUCAGAGGAAAAGUGAACCAUCUGUCUUCAGGGCUGAGUGAGGAAGGAAGAGAUUCAAACCUUUGACUGAAUGGGAAGACAUUUUUAUCACAGCUGACUGUUGAUGGAGGAAGAGAGCGAGAAACAGGAAGCAUUUCCUCCCUUUUUGGAGACAGUGAUUUCUGCGGCUUUUACCACAUGACACAGUGUGAGAAGAAUCUUCUAUUUUCUUGGGAUUUUUUUUGUUAUUGUUUUGAUAUGGACUGCUUUUUUGAUGUAGGCUAAUCAGAUACAGGGUCUGAUAUUGGCUGAGUAAUGGCCUUGAUCUCACUAUGUAGGGAAGAUGGGCCUUGAAUGUCUAACCCUCCUAUUUCCACUUCCUGAGUGCUAGAAUUAUAAGCAUGGAUAUAAGCAUGCGUAGAGUAAGUGCAUAGAUCAUAAGCAUGUCAUGCCUAGCCCAGGAGCUUUCUAAACAUAGCUUAGCCCCAACAACUUCAGGAACAACCAGAAGAACUUUUAUUCACGUCCUUGUUUUGUUGUUUUGUUUUGUGGGGUCAUACCGUUUCUUGAGGGGCACUUGGCAAACCUAGGGCUUCUAUUUUAAUUGUGACCAGACACUAAAAUACUGAAAUAUCCGUGAAAGGAAACUUUUUCAAACUUUUCUUCAGCUUAGGAGCUAUUGGCAGCUGACAGCCGCCGGAGGAGGAAGAAGCAUUCUUCUUUGGGGCUGUGGCCCCUGGCAGAUUGCCCAAGCUCUGGUGAAUGGCUGCACCCCUGCACAUAUGACAGUACCGGUUGGACUUAGUGGGUUAUUUAAAAUAAGAAGAAGGGAGAGAAGGAAGAAAUGGAGGAGGAAGAGGAGGGACAGGAGGAGGUCAUGAAGUUGGGAGGGAGAAGUGUUGAAGAGAAAUCAAAGAAGUUAGAAGGGGAAAUGGAGAGUGGAUAUGGUCAUAUUUUGUUGUACACAGGUAUGAAAUUCCCAAAGAACAAUUUUUUUUUCAUUUUUCUCUUUGCCUCAAAAACAAAACAAAACAGAACAAAAGAUACUUUGCUUCAGUUUAAAUUUUAAAGGACGUUUACACCUAUGGGUUGUUCAAGCAGAUUUCAUUUCAUGAUAGCAAAAGGGUUAUCACAGCAGGAUGCUAAGGAUGCUGCCAGCAUCCAGGCAGAGAGAAAGCAGACCCUCCUUCCUGGAGGCCACUAUGAGUCUAUAGGAAAUGGCUCUGAGGAAGCAUGAUACUGAAGGGGCAGCUAUGCUGAAAACUAGAAAUUCAGGCAACAGCACUGAGUCUCUGAGCUGCCCGUGCCCCUCCCAGCCCAGUCCCACACUGAGCAGGCGGUGAGGACCCCAGCUUCUGAUGUCCUGAAGCUUUGGGCAGCACCCACUCUUGGCCGACUUGCUGGACUUAAUUGAAAUGCUGGUAAGCCGAGAGCUCUGCUGGCCUGGUAUUUUGGACAUCGCUUGCUGGCCUCAGCUAGACACAUGCACAGCCAAACCAAGACAGGCUCCAGUUAGCCACACUCUGCUGCCAACCCUGAGCUUACAUGUCACCACAAAGAUAAAAAGGAGCCCAACAGAAAGAGACAGAGCAUUGAAAAGCCUGGGCCCUGGGUGCUCUCCUGUAGUAGACCACUUUGGAAAUGGCCCCCGUGGUGCCUGCCUUCUUGUAUCAGCACCUGUGUGGUUCCCUCUGUCCAGAAGCGGCCGACAGAGUGACUCGCUUCUCAUAAACAGAAUACGGCAUGAAUGAUGGACGUCACUUCCAAGGCGAGGACCCAAGCUGCUGGCUUCUGCUUGCUUAGCUCUCCCUUUCUCUCUCAUUCUUCUCUCUUGCUUCUGGGAUAGAAUCCAGUUGCGUGUAGAGAGGCACAUCUCUUAGGAACCAAGGAUGGCCUCCUGCCAAAUCAAGCAAAGAGCUGAUGCUUUCUGUUCCCGGGGUCCACAAGGAACACACUCCUGCCACUCAGCACGUGAGGCAUUUGGAAGCAGAUCUCCCCAUAAGUCAAGCCAAUACCCAGACUAUGGCCUUCCUCAGAGGACCCAGUGAAGACCUCCAGACUCCUGACUCACAAAAGCUGUGAGAUCAUCAGUGAGUGGUUUAGGUCAUUAAGCUAGGGGAAAACCUGUCAUUGAGGCAGCUUCCUCCCCACAGGUAGACCCUCAGUGGAGGGACAGCGGCUUUGGCCUCAAGUGUGUGGUCAUGUUCUGCCAGUCAGCCAUGCAGAAACAGAGACAGUGAGGACUACCGUGCCUCCAUGUGAGACUUGAGAAUAUAAAAUGUCCAAUCAGAAACUUUAGCAGGUUCACUUUAAGACAGAGAAUUCAUGGCCUCUCUCCAGACAGGACUGCAUGAUGCCCAGAGCCCAGGUAAUUUCUUCAGCAAAGAAACAAAUGGGUAAACAGCCACAGUGGACAUGGGCAGGAACUGGACUCCAUCAAGACCUAAGCUGAAGAAGUUCCGGCACUUACGCUGCUGAAUUGCAAGACCAAUUCCAGUUCACUUGGAAUCAUCAAUAGUGGACCUUCCGUGUAUUCCACCAGGUUACUUUCCUAUUCCUCUUAGUCGUCAUGACAUGGCAAUCCAGGACCUGCCUUGUUAUCCUGCCCACCCUCUGUAAAAAGGUUUCAUUACAUAGAUGACAGAAUACUGACCUCCAUUUUACAAAUUUAGGGAAGCUUCUAAAAGGCGUAGAGGUGCACCUGAAGGAAUGGGGAUAAGAGGUGAGUCUACAAAGUGUGUGAAGGCCAGGCGCUGCUGCAAAGUUAGGGGUGUCACAGCCUGGUAUGGUGCACAUAAUACUUGAAAAGUGUGUUGGAAAAAAACUCCCAACAGCCUGUACCUGUGAAUGGAAAAGAAAUGCAGCCUUUCUGAGGACUCCUGGGAGACUGGUGGACCUCCACACCCACCUCAUCCAAGCUGCCCAUCCUUCCUGCACAAUUUGAUAAAGAAGGGUGCCAAGCGGAAUUGGGGCAGAAGUACUCCAGAGGCUUUGGAAUAAGCUCAGACCCUUCUAAGCCAGGCUAAUCAGCUGCGUGCCCCCAUUAGCCCAACAUCCCUUUCUAUUAGAAGUCACUAGAAGCUAAGAAAGCUAUCGCUGGGGGCUGUGGCAAAAACAACCCAUGCUAACAGUUCCAAUAGGGUCUGGCAUCAGCUGUGGAAAAAGACAGAAGCUCCGUGUCCAGUGUGAAAACAGCAACUGCUGACUGUGGAUAAAGCAUUGUAACUGUGGCGUGCACAGGCCCCCCCUCAGCUUAUCUGACUAAGAGUUGGGAUGGAGGCCUUUUGGUGUAGCCCCUUCCUGAGGUGGCACAGAAUCAACCCCUCCAAAGGUGGCAUGCAUAUGUACAGAAAUGGGGUGCAGGCUGCCCUAGGUCCCUGUCCUUUUAAGCUACUCAGCUCCCUCUAGUAACUGAACCAACAGCUAAGCCAGAUCAAGUGUUAAAAGAAACACCACACAUCCCUGUAAAUGCCUGCUGCAUACAGUAGGAACACCAAAGUGGAAUAGGUAGCUGUAGAAAUACAAAUAAAAAUAGAUACAUGUGGCUGGAGGAGGGAAAAGAAAAUGCUGCCUGUAAGCUGAAUAAAAGUAGUACAGAUAAUAGGGACUCGUGACACUUAGCCCAUGACAACCUGUGACCUCUCUCCAGAGGUCUCUCUUUAUGGGAGGAAAAGGAAGACCUGCAGGCACUAGGUUGGCCAGUAUGGCAACAACAGAUAUGGAAGCAAAUUUAUAAGGGAGUUCAUCAGGAAUCAGAACCCCUGACAGCUUUCCAUAUGACAGCCCACAGUCCAUUGAGUCUCCUGGAUACUUUUUACUUUAAUCAAAAUACAGGCCAUUUGCCCUCAGAGGCCACUAACUGGGUCAUUCAAAGUCUGGUCACAGGGAAGCCAACACAGCAUUCAUGUAAAAUAAUUUGAUGUCCCACAUGCUGUUCAUUUGUGCAAGGUCUAUUUCUGAUUGUGGCCUUGGUAGAAUCCUACGUAUGUCAACUUGCCUGUAAAUGAUUAAUAAAUAGACUAUGCAGGACCUAUACCUCUCAGUGAUGGAUGCAAGUCUGUCCUCUCCUGUGUGAUCACUGUCACAAGUCUCAUAUAAGCACUUCAGUGCAAAUGAACAACACCUGAAAUCACCAUCGAGUGCCUCAUCAACUCAGUGUUAUGUAUGGGUGUUAUGAAAAACUGACAGUUACAAGGGUAGUCAUGUCACAAACAGUGAUGAGUAGAACUGAGCUGAAGACAAGCUGCAUUGAUGUUUUCACCUGCUUUACAAUGCACAGGUAGAAAAGGGCACCCAGAGGCCAUAAGUUUGCUAAAUGAAAAUCACAGUGCCAGGAAUGUGCUACCGAGGCCCUAUAAACCACAAAGGCUAUUGACACUGUUGUUAGUUGUUGUGAGAUAUUUGAUUACACUGUGUAAAGAUAUGUCACUGUGACUGGUUUAAUAAGAAACUAAACGUCCAAUAGCUAGGCAGGAGGUAUAGCAGGGACUUCUGGACAGAGAGAGCUGUGGGAAGAAGAAGGGCAGAGUCACCAGUCAGUUGGAGAGGAAACAGGAGGUGUAAGAUGAAAGAGAGAUAAUGCCACAUGAUAGAAUGUAGAUUAAUAUAAAUGGGUUAAUUUAAGUUACAAGAGCUAGUUAGGAACAAGCCUAAGCUAUAGGCUGAGCUUCCAUAAUUAAUAAUAAGUCUCCAUGUCAUUAUUCAUGAGCUGGUGGCCCAAAGAAAAGUCUAACAACAAAUGUUGUCCAAUGUGAGGGCUCAAAUAUCCAAACAUAGGGCCUGAGAAAGCAAAAAAAUGCUCUGGACAAAGAGCUUCAUAGUCCUACAAUCUUUCAGGCAGGCUGGUGCUGGAAGACAUACAGGGGUGUGGCUACCAGCUGCUGCCUGCAGGCUAGAGCCAUCCACCAGUGCCAUGGACCAACACCAUCCACUAAGCUGAGCUGUGCCUACAGCUGACAUAGCAAUUUAAGAUUUGUCUCAUAUGAUGCUUAGUAAAGACAGAUCCAGACAGGAGAAAAAACUCUAAACAGGUUGCAGUGUAUUUUAAAAAUGUAUGUAGACUUAGAAAAGAAAAUGGGUAUAAACAGUCAUAGGAAAGAAUAGUUUAUAAAUAAUAAAAUAAAGUCUUUAAAGAGAAAAUAAAAUAAUAUAAAAAGGAUAAGCCACAUAGAGAUAGGAAAAACCCAGGGAGUCUGGAUCCUGUAUGGUGUUGUAUUGACUUUAAAUGUUUUGAUUGCUGAUGAGCAAACAAUACCUGUUUUGAGAGACAUUGGAUUAUAAAAACUACUAAAUUAAACCAACCUAUAUAUUUUAGAAAUGUUUUAACUUCAAAAUGGAAGUCAAAAAAUAUGUUAUGUUGGGGAAGAGGUUAUGUUUUUGUUUCUAAAGAAAACAAAAGGCUGUGGAUUCAUUCAAGGUUGAUGGAGAUCAGAUUUGAUCAGAAGAGACCUCCUGAAAAUCCUGGCUACAGACAUAAAGAAAUAAACCUAUAAAAACUACAAGACAAGUGAUGUAUAUUUUACCUGUUUAAACAUAAAACAAAAAAUCAUCUUUGGCUGGCUUGUGUACAAUGCAUAGUCCAUGCUUGUGUUAACACAGAUAUGUAUAUUACUUUUAAAAGUUUGUGUGUGGGCUAGAGAGAUGUCUUAGAGGUUAAGAGCACUGGCUGCUCUUCCAGAGGUCCUGAGUUCCCAGCAACAGCAUGGUGGCUCACAACCAUCUGUAAUGAGAUCUGGUGCCCUCUUCUGGUGUGCAGGCAGAACACUGUAUAUAUAAUAAAUAAAUAUUAUUUAUUUUAAAGUUUGUGUGUUUUCAGAGCAAGGGAACCAGACACCAAUGAAAAUGGGUGGCCCUGGUGAUCCAGCUUCUCAGAGUGUCUCUGUUGCAGUUUCCUCAGAGUUCUGCAUCCAGAACAGCUUCAAGGCCCCUGGCUGAGAUGGUCCAGCCUCACAGACUACUCAGGGCUUCAGAUAAGCCUUGUACUUUCCUGUUACACAGAGACUGGACAACAAAUGAUACAGCUAGCUCUUCCGAGACUUGACCAUUAUCCUGUUGUGGAAUAUUAGUUAAAGAUGUGUUACAUUCAUUUGUGCUGUGGAUUAUUUGUUUAAUGAUGCAAAGAUGUGUUGCAUUCUUUUAUUUUGCAUUUGUUUAACUCUGUGAAGCUGUGUUACUUUGACCACCUGAAUCACCUGAUUGUUCUAAUAAAGCUCUAAACAGCCAAUAGCUAGGAAGGAGGGAGAAAUAGGCAAGGCUGGUGGGGAGAGAGAAUUAAUAGAGAGAUAAGAGAAGAUAACGGGAGAGAAAAGGAGGAGAAGAGGAUGCCAGGGGUCAGCCACCCAGCCAAAUCGUUAGACACAGAAUAAGAAGGAAAGAAAAGAUAUACAAAAAUAGAAAAAGGUAAAAGCCCAGAGGCAAAAGAUAAACACAACCAUUUAAGUUAAGAAAAGCUAGCUAGAAACAAGCCAAGCUAAGACUGGGCAUUCAUAAGUAAGAGUAAGUCUCCAUGUGAUUAUUUGGGAGCUGGGUCAUGGGUCUCCAAAGAGUAAGUAAUAAAAAACAAAAAACUACAUUAUCCUGAGUUUCUCAGGGUCCCCUAAAAAUUCCAGCACCCUGAGACAACAGGAAGCAUUCUAGAGAACACAUUCCCAAGAGAAGGGGUGGGUGGUUUUUGGUCAUUCAGUGGGUCAUCGUCUAGGGGGGUUGGUUACAAGUUGUUACUGGUCAUGGUCAAGGAAAAAGUUAAACAAAGGAGAUUAGGUUCAAGGUUCUCUUUCUAAAGGGACAAAGGGGGAAUAUAAUAUAAAAGUGAUGAAAUAAAAGAGUAGAUUGUUGAAUCUACUUUUGAACAACCACUAGUCUCAAAUAUUUUACAUUGGUAUAAUAGAAAUUUAAAGUUAUUUUUAUUAUAUUGUAUUAUAUGGUUCUAUUUCUUGUUUAAGGUAUUGUACCUAUGCAGCUCAUUUAAAAAGGAAAUGUAAAGUUUUAGUCCUUGAAAGUUAUCUAAGAUAAUAAAGAAACACAGGUUAAUAGUCAUCUAUAACAAUCAAACUUAUAGUCAUGUUAGGUAUGUUUUCGAGGUCAAUCGGAGACAUAUUUUAAAUAGAUAGAUGGUCUUCAAACACUUCAGAGACCUACAAAAUAUGGCAAUUUAAUAUUUUAAUAACAUAGGCCUUUUCAUGACAGUGAGAUACGUUUGCUCCUAGCAGUACCAAUCUAUUUCAUGGGCAUCAAAGAAUGUUCAUAAGGAGUUUGAUUUCUUUGUGACAAAACCUAGUCAUUUGGGCAAGAAAAUGCCCUUGCCUCAACUGCUGGCAGUAUGCUGUCCAAAUUGGACAAGCAGGACACAAAAGAAAGUGACUGCGGAACUUUGCCAAGACAAGGUAGGACAACCCUUCAAAAAUUUCUGCUUCACAGGAAAAUCUGUCAGUAUUCUAGACCUGUAGGCUGAAGAUGGAUGCCCCAACAUUGCAGAGGAAACUUGGGUCAUUGUCCAGGCAGCCAGCUGUUUCUGUCAUUUUUUAUAGUUUUGAAAGUUGCUUUCUCUGCACUUCCUGUUUGCUCAAAUAAUAUUUUAUCCUUUGUGGGUCUCUGAUGGGGAUUGAAGACUAGCUAGUUAUAGUUUUACAGUUUUCCUUGUUACCAAAUUCAGAAAAGAAACUUAAUAAAAGAUAUAAAGUUUAUAUAGUUGAAAAACAUAAAAGCUUAAGUUGUUUAUCUAAAAAAGUAUUUUAAAGUCUAAGAAGAUAUUUUUAGGAUGGUAGUACAAGUUAUGACAAAAAAUGGUUUAAGUAUAAAACUUUAUACUAAGAUAGGGUAGAUUAUGGAGUAUUUUCUCUAAAUUUGCCAAAUGCAAAUGGUAGACAUUAUAAAUGUAAUUGUUACCUGAUAAUUGUCCUUAUUGUAUAUAGUUUUACUAUGUUAGAGUUAGAACACUUUCCUUUUUAUUUAGACAAAAAGGGGGAAAUGUUGCAAGAUAUUUGAUUACACUAUGUAAAGAUAUGUCACUAUGAUUGGUUUAAUAAAAAGCUAAACAGCCAAUAGACAGGAAGUAUAGCAGGGACUUCUGGACAAAGAGUGCUCUGGGAAGAAGGAGGGCAGAGUCACCAGCCAGAAGGAGAACAAACAGGAGGUGUAAGAUGAAAGAGAGGUAAUGCUACAUGAUAAAAUGUACAUUAAUAUAAAUGGGUUAAUUUAAGUUACAAGAGCUAGUUAGGAACAAGCCUAAGCUAUAGGCUGAGCUUUCAUAAUUAAUAAGAAGUUUUCAUGUCAUUAUUUGUGAGCAUGUGGCGUAAAGAAAAGCCUGACUAUAGUUAGUUGCAUGCCAUAACUAGAGGGUAAGACCAUAGUGUUGAAGAUACCACAUGCUUUGGUUGCAAGACAUGGAAAAAUAGAGCUGGACUGAGCUUCCUCCCUACCAGCCGGAUUUUACAGUGUUGGAAGGUGCUUUGUGGGCUGCUGGGGAAGAAUUGACACUAAGGGUCCUGCUUAGCUAUAGACUUUGUAUGCUACAGUACCAAAAUACCAGGCAGGUACAUAUAAUGGUACAACUAUCAUGGGUACAGCCAACAGAUUUCUGAUUAGAUUUGAAGAUCACUUAACAGGAGGGCAUUCAUGUCCGGAACUAUAAGUCAACACAAAAACCUAUAGCUAGAGAGGUCUUAGGCCCCAGUAGGAAGGCUGCUACUGUUUUGUUACAUGGGUGUGAUGUGCCUAUCAAACUGCCUUAUAAACAUUUAUGCUUAAGCCCAUAGGUCAAUGGUGCUGUCAGCCACAAUUGGACAUGGAAGGAAGGUUCCUCUUACAGGGGAUGGUGUACUACACUCCAGAGACUCAUAAGCCACGCCCCCCCCAGAGAAGCUCCUGGGAACAAGUGAUUGUUACUAUGGUACAGAGGUCCAGUGUCAUCUGUAUCACCCUCUAUAAAGCUCAGGGAACAUCAUGGAAGAGAGAACCAAAAGAAUUUAAAACCAGUUUGUGCAGCAAUUUCCUCAGAGUUGAAAUAGUCCACCCUGCCAGGGGAGAUCCUCAUGUUUCAGGAAGUCCUAAACUGAAACAUUCCUUGCAUGGAAGAGCUUGGGGGAAGAAGACUCAUGAACCCCACGAGCAAACAACUUAGGAGUCUCAAGAAGUUCCUGGAAUGAACAAGACACACACACACACACACACACACACACACACACACACACACACAUACACACACACCCCGAAAAAAAGUUAUAGACCCAGUAAACAACUGCUAGGUAACCUGGAGUGACUACAGAACUAGAAAGUUAAAAUGGGCCAUUGUGUGGGGGAGGGGCAACAGAGGGGCAAAGCAGGGUACAAAUGAAUUGAAGAAGUGAGGAAAGUGGGCGGACUUUAAUUAGGGAGGAGUAGAGGGAUAAAUACAGAAAAAGUAAUUGAAGAGGGUAAAAUAAUAGCAAAGGUGUCUGAAAAGGCAUAAAAAACCAUACUAUUAACUAUCUACCUAAAAAUAGCCUUGAUACACAUAAGACAGUGUAUAAAUAUGCAGAUAUACUUGAAAUAAAAUUUUCCUGUCUGGGGUGACAAUGUUUCCCAAAGCCAUAGACCAUCUAACAAAAACCCUAACACCAGUCAUGGGAAGUCCUCUUCUAAGUUGUUAUUCAGCAUUGUUCAAGAGAAUCCCAAAACAUUACAGGCUAUUAAUGUUGCCCUUGUUUGCCCCCCAUCCCAGAAGUGGAAGGUGAGUCCCUAUUGCUGAAGAUACCAUGUAUGGUGGUUUGAAAGAAAAUGGCCCCAUGGGGAGUGGCACUAUUAGGAGGUGAGGCCUUGUUGGAGUAGGAGUGGCCUUAUUGGAGGAAGUGUGUCACUAUGGGGGUGAGCUCCUAUCCUCAAGCUAUGCUCAGUGUGACACGCAGCUUUUUUCUGCUGCCAGCAGAUCAAGAUGUAAGAUUCUCAGCUCCUUCUCCAGAACCAUGUCUGCCACAUGCUGCCAUGUCACCCAACAUGAUGAUAAUGGACUAAACCUCUGAACUGUAAGCUAGCUCCCAUUAAAUGUUUUCCUUUAUAAGAGUCAUCGUGGUCAUGGUGUCUCUUCACAGCAAUAGAAACCCUAACGAAGACACAUGUACUUCAGAUUUAGGUCCCAGAUGCCCCCCCCCCAAGCUAGAUCUGACCUGAAAGCCUCCUCCCUAAGGAUUAGCUUUCAUGGUGCCAGAAAGCACCAUACAAGCUUCGAAAGGAGGAAGGCAACCAAUUGUCCUACGUAGCUAUGAUGUCUAUGAACCACAACAGUGACUAGCAUGGCUCAGUAACCCCAAAGGUGCAGUAGUGGGAAUGCAUACCUUGGCAGUAACAAGCAGUUCCCUAACUGGGCUCAUAACCCAUUCAAUAAGAGGGAAAUCAUGUCUGCUGCUAGAAACCCAGCCAAUUACCCAGGGUUAGUGAAGUCAUGGAUCUUAGAGGAGAACCUACAACUGCCACUUUACUAAACCAACAUAAUUCCUAACUACAUUCUAAAUAUUUGUCCUUAUACCAACAGAUAGAUAAGUGUAGUCUUCACCUUCAUCAAGGAAACUUCUCUUUACAAUAGAUGGAGACCAUUACAGAAACCACCACAACCAGUCAAAGUGCAGAGUGGUAGGGCCCAGUCCCAAAUGAUACAUCUACAAAACAACUCUUGUAUCUAAGCCUCAGAGGUCAUUGUGGAAGAGGGGACAGAAAGAUUGUAAGAACUGGAGGAACAGGGAGUUUGCUAUGAGCUUGUGUGGCAGGGCAAGACAGUGCAGAAGUUCCUCCAACUUGAGUUUUUGUGGAAGCCAUUUCAGGUCUUACUAGAAUUUUAUCUCCUUGAUGAAGAAUCCCAUGGAAAAUUACCCAGCUCUACUCUAGGAACCAAAGGUCAGGAUGUCCUAGUUAAGUUAGCUUCUGUUAAAUUGCCUGUUUGUGCCGAACCCCCUCCAGCUAACUGCUUAUCUUGACUUCUGUUAAACUGCUUGCUUCUACAAAGCUCCCCAGCAGCUACAGAGCAAGAUGCCGGGAUAUGGUUUUGUUCUUUGAGGUUUUUUGAGGCUACACCUAGGUCCCCAAAUAUUUGGAUGUAGCCCCAGAUGGUUGGAAUAAAGACUUUCAAUUGGC